CCCCAUUGCUGCUUCAGCAGUAUUCCUCGGUAGCUCAGCGGUAGAGCAUUCGACUGUUAAUCGAAUGGUCGCUGGUUCGAAUCCAGCCCGGGGAGCCAAUCAAAUCAAUCACUUACCAGCCUGUCUGCCUCGCGCAACUUGCGCGGGAUCGCCCGCGUAUAUAGCUGAUCUGUGUGACGGGCCGCGGGGCGCUCCCGGAAUGGAACAGGCAGGUUUAACGUGAGCGCAGAAGCCAGGGCCGAACUCGACCGUCAUUUCGACUGGAUCGCAUCACGGCUUCCCGAAAAAGG
rnacentral:tRNA from 1 species